rnacentral:lncRNA from 1 species
UAGUUAUCAAAGGUACCAGGAUUAUAAUUUAAUACGCCAGACGCGCGUUUCGUCUACAUAAGACUCAUCAGUGACGCUCAGAUCAAAACAUUUAAAAAGCCAAACCAAUACAAAGUUGAAGAGCAUUGAGGACCCAAAAUUCCAAAAAGUUGUGCCAAAUACGGCUAAGGUAAUCUACUCCUGGGCGUAAGAAAAUCCUUAGAUUUUCGAAAAAUUCAAAGUUUUGUAAACAGAAAAUUUAUAAAAAAAAAGACAAUAUAAUUGAUAUUCAUGUCAACACCGAAGUGCUGACUACUGGGCUGGUGAUACCCUCGGGGACGAAACGUCCACCAGCAGUGGCA